rnacentral:rRNA from 1 species
GACGAACGCUGGCGGCGUGCCUAAUACAUGCAAGUUGAGCGCUGAGGGUUGGUACUUGUACCAACUGCGUGAGCAGCGAACGGGUGAGUAACGCGUGGGGAAUCUGCCUUUGAGAGGGGGACAACAUUGGGAAACGAAUGCUAAUACCGCAUAAAAACUUUAAACACAAGGUUUAAGAUUGAAAGAUGCAAUUGCAUCAAUCAAAGAUGAUCCCGCGUUGUAUUAGCUAGGUGGUGAGGUAAAGGCUUAACAAGGCGAAGAUACAGAGCCCGACUGGGAGGGUGGUCCGGCACAAUGGGACUGAGACACGGGCCAAGCCUCCUCGGGAAGCAAGAGGAGGGGAUUCUUCGGAAUGGACGAAAGUCUUAACGGGGAACGGCGGGUGGGGGAAGAAGGGUUUCGGAUCGGAAAAAUCUGUUGGUAGGGAAGAACGUUAGUGGGAGUGGAAAGCGCAUCAAGUGACGGUAACUACCCAGAAAGCGACGGCUAACUACGUG